UCCGAAGUAUUUCCUCCACAUUCUACAAUUACCAGGCACCGCUGCACACACGAACGGCAAUACAAUAGCCAAAUAAUGUCAACACAAUAAAAAAAAAGAAACAUACUAUGAACGGCAUCCUGCAGGAAGCGUCAACACCUCCGAGGAUUCACAAGCCUAGAAUCGUCCUUGGACGAUGCACGACGCAGACUACGUUCACCGAGCAAAUUGCCGUGCGACAUUUUCGCAUCGAUCGUUCUGCGCCCGUGGAUCAGUCGGAUCAGUCCCUGCCGGCCGGCUCCUGCCCCCCUCAAUGUCAUUCACAUUGACCUCCACCGGAUAAUUCUUGGAAUCAGGCAAAAGCACGCUACACGCGCACCCUCUGGCGAACGAUUUAUGCUCUAAAGUGCAGCAGGAGCGCGUCCUUUCCAUCGCUAGUCUCGUUUUACAAGUGCUCGUCAAAAUGCGGAUUACCAACUCUUUUGCACAUCUGCGAGCACAAAGAAUCGUCUAAAAAGCCGAAGACGGGAUAUUUGCGUGUAUAGCAUUAAUAUGCCGGGAAACAUCUGUACGCCAUUCGAUCGGGCGGCGCGACGAACUAACGGAAACCAUCUCCGAGGUCGAAGAACUACUUCCCCCUGCUUUCGAAUUCCGGUCAGAUGGAAAAUAACCAGCGUCGCAUUUCCGGGCGGCACGUGUGUGUCGCGAGCGAGCGAGCACGCCAG